GCUAAUACCGGAUAACAACAGAUGAUGCCUAUCAACUGUUUAAAAGAUGGUUCUGCUAUCACUCUUGGAUGGACCUGCGGUGCAUUAGCUAGUUGGUAGGGUAACGGCCUACCAAGGCGAUGAUGCAUAGCCGAGUUGAGAGACUGAUCGGCCACAUUGGGACUGAGACACGGCCCAAACUCCUACGGGAGGCAGCAGUG
rnacentral:rRNA from 1 species